rnacentral:lncRNA from 1 species
UCCCUUGUUUAUCAAGUGCAAUGAUAAACACCAGGAGGUUAUGUGUUUCCAGCUGAUAUACCAAAGAAUUUUAAUUUGAACAGUAGUUGUUUAAAGAUAAACAGUAUCCGUUUUAAUCUGAACAGUUAAUGAACAGUAUAUGUUUAUGAACAAUAUUUCUGAUGUGGAAGAUCACACGAAGGUGCAACCACAGAGCAUAC